GCGGGUAUGGCGGAAUUGGUAGACGCGCAUGUUUCAGAUACAUGUGGCAAUAUGUCGUGGGAGUUCAAGUCUCCCUAUCCGCA
rnacentral:tRNA from 1 species